rnacentral:misc_RNA from 1 species
GAUGAAGAACGUAGCGAAAUGCGAUAAGUAAUGUGAAUUGCAGAAUUCAGUGAAUCAUCGAAUCUUUGAACGCAUCUUGCGCUCCUUGGUAUUCUGAGGAGCAUGCCUGUUUGAGUGUCAUUAAAUUCUCAACUACACUGACUUUGAAUUGGUGUGGCUUGGAUGUGGGGGGAAAAUUGUUGUGGGCUUUUUGUAUAGUCUGCUCCCCUGAAAUUGAUUAGCGGUACCUUUGUGGAACUGUCUACAGGUGUGAUAAUUAUCUACAUCUUAGACAUCUGCUGGAAUGCUGCUUUCUAAACCUUACUUGUAUUGACAAUCUUGACCUCAAAUCAGGUAGGACUACCCGCUGAACUUAAGCAUAUCAAUAAGCGGAGGA